CUAAUUUGGAGGCACUCCAAGUGCAUACUGGUGUAACUGACAGGAGAAUUUGGCCCUGUAUCUCUACAAGAAAUAAUUUCCUAGAUGGAUAGGAGUCCUGGUACCAAGAUUGCAUAUUCAUAAAGGUUUUUCAAGUGCCAUGAACAACUGCUCUACUUCUGUCCAGAUUUUAAUUUCCAGCGAGAGUGGGAAGAAGAAGAAGAGAACAGAGUUCAUUCAUUUCAGAAGAGUCAGUAGUUAA
rnacentral:lncRNA from 1 species